CCAAUAGCGUAUAUUAAAGUUGUUGCAGUUAAAAAGCUCGUAGUUGAAUUUCGGGGUUAGUAGGUUGGUCAUGCCUCUGGUAUGUACUGGUCUCACUGAUUCCUCCUUCCUUAUGAACCGUAAUGCCAUUAAUUUGGUGUUGCGGGAAAUUUGGACUGUUACUUUGAAAAAAUUAGAGUGUUUAAAGCAAGCUAACGCUUGAAUACAUUAGCAUGGAAUAAUGAAAUAGGACGUUCGAUCUUAUUUUGUUGGUUUCUAGGAUUGACGUAAUGAUUAAUAGGGAUAGUUGGGGGCAUUAGUAUUCAAUUGUCAGAGGUGAAAUUCUUUGAUUUAUUGAAGACUAACUACUGCGAAAGCAUUUGCCAAGGAUGUUUUCAUUAAUCAAGAACGAAAGUUAGGGGAUCGAAGACGAUCAGAUACCGUCGUAGUCUUAACCAUAAACUAUGCCGACUAGGGAUCGGAUGAUGUUAAUUUUUUAAUGACUCAUUCGGCGCCUUACG
rnacentral:rRNA from 1 species